UACGUAGGGUGCAAGCGUUGUCCGGAAUUAUUGGGCGUAAAGAGCUCGUAGGCGGUCUGUCGCGUCGGCUGUGAAAACUCGGGGCUCAACCCCGAGCCUGCAGUCGAUACGGGCAGACUAGAGUGCUGUAGGGGAGACUGGAAUUCCUGGUGUAGCGGUGAAAUGCGCAGAUAUCAGGAGGAACACCGGUGGCGAAGGCGGGUCUCUGGGCAUUAACUGACGCUGAGGAGCGAAAGCAUGGGGAGCGAACAGG
rnacentral:rRNA from 1 species